ACUACAUAGAUUACAACACUACCUCAAUAUUUAUGGAGCGGCAGCAGCCCCAUUCUGUUCUGCACCACGAGAUCCUUUAGCAAAAUGUUUCUUGUCCAACUUCUCUAGAGGUGUGUCCUGCAUAACAUAAACAUAUAUUUACGUACUACGUGGAACAUAGAUUUUAUUAGAAACAGUGAAAAAAUGUCAAAUUAUCUGACAUGUUUCCAUAAGGAUUCAAAUUUGUGAAUAACACAUCAUUAACAUAACAUGAAGUGCAAUGACUUGGGUAAGCUAGGGCAUUCUGAUUUUUGGCUAAUUUAAUAGUCUUAUUAAUCCCCAUCAAAACGAGAAAAACUUGUGUGGGGCUUGGCUCGCACUAGACUUCACUGAGUGGCACUACAGUCCACUCAAAACUCGUCACGUGGCAAAUCUUAAAUAUA
rnacentral:lncRNA from 1 species